rnacentral:rRNA from 1 species
UACAGAGGCCUCAAGCGUUAAUCGGAAUUACUGGGCGUAAAGCGCGCGUAGGCGGCUUUGCAAGUCGGGUGUGAAAUCCCCAGGCUUAACCUGGGAACUGCAUUCGAGACUGCAUUGCUAGAGUAUGGGAGAGGGAAGUGGAAUUUCCGGUGUAGCGGUGAAAUGCGUAGAUAUCGGGAGGAACACCAGUGGCGAAGGCGGCUACCUGGCCCAUUCUUGACGCUGAGGCGCGAAAGCUAGGGGAGCGAACGGG